UACUGAGAGUGCGAGCGUUGUCCGGAAUCAUUGGGCUUAAAGCGCACGUAGGCGGCGCUGUAAGUGCCAGGUGAAAUCCCACGGCUCACCCGUGGAACUGCCUGGCAGACUGCGGUACUAGAGUGUGGUAGGGGAGAGCGGAACUCCUGGUGGAGCGGUGAAAUGCGUAGAUAUCAGGAGGAACACCGGUGGCGAAGGCGGCUCUCUGGUCCACAACUGACGCUGAGGUGCGAAAGCUAGGGGAGCAAACGGG
rnacentral:rRNA from 1 species